UCUCCGGGAAAGAGGAGAGGAACGAGCCAGAAGCCCCAAUCAAGACAGAGCAUUGGGUUUUAAGGUGGGGAGCCUUAGUGAGUGUGAACAUGGACCCUGCCACCAGAGCCUCUCUUUUCUCAGGAUGCUCAUUCUUUUGUCUGCUCAGACCUGGAGCACAGUAGAAGUGUUGCAGCAAUGUGUACAGCUAGUGUUACCGGGGGAAGAACUGAGCAGUACACAAAGAAACGGAGAACAGCCUUUAUUCUUGCACAGCAGGCUCAACACACCUGGUGUUACAGCUCUUUUGGAGUCUUCUGACCCUCCCGCCCUUCUUUGGUCUCCUCCUGCUUUUAUACCCUUGGUAGGGCUCAAAAAGCAUCCAAUCAACAUCAAGCUUUAACAUCCAAUCAAAAACAGCAGGAUUCAAAAAUUACCCAAUCAGGAUCAUGCAAGCAGCAUGGCCGUAAUCUGGGCGGCAGCACGGGGUGUGGCCGUAUUCUGGCACACGGGGCCCCAGGGCGGUUCUCUGCGCAGGCCCAGCCCCCCCAGAGUGCUGGCCAACUGGCCACGCUCAGCGUUGGCCUGUGGAGAUGCGGAGUGUCGGGGAGGCGGCAAGCGGCUGCGUCUUGGCGCCCGACAUUUUCCGUAUCAGAAGCAGGAAUGCUGGUACUGUUCCAUUUGCUUUAUGUGUAUUCAUUUAACUUGAAGUUUUUGUGGCAUGAAGAAAAGGGGAGAUGAUAAAGGACCAGCGUGGACUAUAGUUGACAGCGACAGAUGAACCCGCACAGUGACUUUAGCCGACAGCCAUGAUGUGUAGGCGUACAGCCAAGCCUCGACUUUAGCCAACAGCUGUGAUAUGACUUUUCUAAUUUUUCACUUAACAAAAUAAAAUUGUGAACACUUAAA